GAAGAAGAAGAUGAUGAGAGAAGGUGCAACUCUACACUGAUGAGGUGGGUUCAUCUAUUUCCCUCUCUCUCUCUCUCUCUCUCUCUAUCUAUCUCUAGAUUAGUAACAUUUGCACCCUGAACCAUAUAUAUUUCCAUAUAUUCACUCCACUAAUUCUCUACAGUCCCAGUAUAUCUUUGGAUAUCUCCAACCGGAUUCUACUUAAUUAACCCACUUCUCCAAUCUCUCUCUCUCUUUAUUUCUUCCUCU
rnacentral:lncRNA from 1 species